CACAAUUUUUCCUAAACUGGGCCCACUUGAGUCAUCUUGGCCUCACACCUGUGGCAUCAGUUUGCCUGCCACAUGCCCUGCCAGCUGGUGAGUGGCAUAUUCCCGCCUCCCCCGUGUUCUGAACAGUGGCCGAGCGUGUGCUAGAACUUGCCUGGCCUGUGAUCUAGGGCUGAUGCAAUUUGAGGGCUCUUGCACAGUUUGGAUAAAUGCAGGGUCUUGCUAGCCGCCAGGCCUUGGGCAGGUACUGGGCUUCUACUCCUGGUCUCUGUCUGUAGAGGGGCAGUGGUAGGGCCUGCCUCAAGAGGGACAGAUAGCCCAGCAGCUCAGCAAGCACCCACCUGACCACCAUCGUGCCAGACCCCUGAGCAGGCUGCUCCAUGUGGACUUGGAUACUUCUCCCUUGGCUUCCUGUGCGUCAGGUGCAGAGGACUCGCUGCCGCCUUUCUCUUCCUCUGGAGUUAUCUGCAGACCUACGGUCUACCUUACAUUCAGCCACUGGCCAAAGUCUCCCACACCGACGGUCCCUGGCCAUGCAGUCUGACAUAACGAUCUUUCAGCUUUCCGGUGUUGCAGAGGCAAAGGGCAUGUGGUCACAACUACAGUUUGAAUUUGGAUUUGGACUUUCUGGGCUGGAGGUUCUCUGUGUGUGUGAAUCUCCUGUUUCUCAUCAGGCUUCCCCGCCAGCUUGAGCCCCCGCUGAUGGUGCCUGAGCGAGGGCUGUCGUGGCUGCUGAUCCCUCGGAGGACAUACUGUCCCUUGCCAUGUUUGUGUUACAUACUUGUCCAUCAGUGCAUGGUUCCGCUUAUUUCAUGAGUGAUCGUUGUCACAGUUUAUGUUGGUGCUCAGGUUGUCUCAGCCUUGGCUGGGAAGGCACUUGAGGCAAGGCUGGGUCCUUUGGACGUCACCUGCCCUCUCCAGCACUUUCUUCUUCACUCCAGGUGUCUUAGCUGGUCUCCCUCUUUCCUGCCCAGCCCUGGGGUAGCUGUUUCUCGCAAGCACUGGUUCCUUCAGGGAAGGUGAUGUUGAGAAGCCAGGGUGUGACCUCUGAGUGGUGCUUGGCUUUCGGGGCGUGUGUUCUUUGUGUGUCCAGUGGCCAGCAGUUGCUGCCUUCCAUUAUUUCUGGACCUGCAGGCUGCUGAGCUCCCACCUUUGCAGGCAGCACCACAGGUCAGCCCUUCCAUAUUUGAGCAGCCUUCUCGGAUGUGGGAUUCUCUCUCAGUCCUUCUGUAUGUGAUGGUCCUUCCCACCCCACAGGGCCUGCUGCCUCUCUUGGGCCAGCCCUCCAAAAGGUUGAGGAGCAGGGUUCUGCUGCUUGACCGCCAGCGUUGUCCAGAUCCGAGCCACGGAGCGAGCCACGGAGCCCUGUACUGGUGUUCUGUCCAGAGCUCAUGCUCCUGGUGGUCUUGGUGGUCUUGUUUUUAGAAACAACACAGCUGAGUUUGUGUUUCAGCCUACAGGGAGUGUCCCUCCAUGGUGGGGACCUGCCCGUGGUCAGGGUGGUGGUUGGUGCCUUCUUUUGCACCGUGCUGCCAGCCCGCUCCUCCCUGUUCUGCUGUCGGUGGCAGAGCCACAUGGUUCCUUUGGUGCCUUGUGGAGUGGAAGUGAGCUCUUGCUCCUGUGUGUCCGUUGCCUGUUCAUCCUUGACCCAAGCUCACUUGGGAGGGCCUCCCCUGCCCUUGCCCUGCUCCUGGGCUCAUGCACCCAGCUUCCUGCAGGCCCCUCUCCUUCAGACUGCAGUCUCUGGGUCCUGACUGAUCUCCCUCUGAGGUCUGGAACUAGUUGGGUCUUUCCUUGGCACCCUUAUUCAGCUCUCAGUGCACGUUCUAGAUGCAGCCUGUCCUCCGGCAGCAUUGGUGUCCCUUGGGGAGCAUCACCCACAAACGGCUUCUUUCCCUCCAUCUUGGUGACUUCUGGUUCUCUGUUCCUGGGGCGACUACAGAGGCCACCUCAGCUGUGGUCAGCCGAGCUCGUGGGAUGUCAGCUUCUGUGUUCACUGCUUGUCCCAGGCUUCAGUCUGCCCUGGAGAUGGGACCUCACUGGCAGGGAACCCCACCCUCAGCCACUCCUCUCCUCUCAGGUGUCCCCAGGUGUCAUUGCCAACCCCUUUGCAGCAGGCAUCAGCCACCGGAACAGCCUGGAGAGCAUCUCGUCCAUCGACCGGGAGCUGAGCCCUGAGGGCCCAAGCAAGGUCGGAACUCCUGUGGCUGGCAGCCAGGGCUGGGGACCUGAACUGCUGAUGCCUGACUUGUCUGCUCCCUCACAGGAGAAGGAACUGCCCAGUCAGACCCCACACUGGGGGCCUGAGGCUGUGGAGGCCACGGUGAGUCCCAUGGGGCCUGGCUCUGUGCUCUGGGCUGCAUCCUCCCCUGAAGCAGUGCAGUCCAUGCCCAGGCACACAGCCCAGCUAGCAGUGUCACUCUGCUCCCCAGGGCCAGAGGCUGGAGCCCCUGAAGCUGGACUACCGUGUCCUGGCUGCUCUGCCCGGCACUGGCAGUGUGCAGAGGGUCAGUGUCCCACGUGUGCUGAGUUGCACCCUCCUGACGCCUUGUCCAUCUGCCCACCAGCCUGUCAGCUCCCUCUUCACCUGGCCAGCCACUGCCAGGGGCUGAGUGCCGAGGCCACCAUGGAGGAGCCUCUGUGGGGUGGGGCACGGGCUGGGGUUGGAGGAGCCCAGCCGCGUCUUACCCUUUACUUCUUGACCUUAGUCACGCGUGGAGGGGGGUCCUUUGAAAGCCCCCGACCCCUUCCCUGCCUCAUCCUUACCAGUCAGCUGGGUAUGGGGAACUGAGUCCAGCCUGUGGCAGGCAGAAGGGCUCCUGAGGUAGAGGCAGCUGGAAGUCACCAGAGUCUCUCCAGGCUCCUGGUGGGGGAGGGCGGGCAUGAGCAGCCCUGGAAUGGGUGGGCAUGAGCAGCUGCAGAGUGUCCUGGGAGGCCAGGGUGAGUGGAGAAGGGCUUAGCAUUAACUGGGUGUGGCAUCCAGGGCACCGGGUCUGGGGACAGACAGGAAGGACAUUCAGCCCCCAUUCCUCCCCAGGAGGUAUAAAUAACACUGGUAGAGGGUGAGCCCAGUCAGCUGCUGCUGGGAGACCCCACAGGAGUGUGAGUGCUUCAGGGGCGGGUCGGGGAGGACGCUGCCGGAGCAGUGGGGGAGGCGCUGAGUGGCCUGGUGGGCCUGGGGACUGAAGGAGCCUGCUUGGGCUUUGGGUGUGGACCCUCCUGCUGCACAGAACCUGGAGAGGGCAGCAGGGGUGGGGCCUAGCACCCUCACAUUAGGAGGGGGCACAGUGGCUGGUGGACCGUGGGAGGACUCCCUGGCUCUCACUGCUGGGGUGUCCUGGGUUUGGGGGCCCCUCUGCACAGCUCUGGGCUGCAGCUGCUACUGUGAACUCACACUCAGCUAGCUGCUCAGCCCAGGCCCAAUCUCCUGCCUUCUUUUUAAAAAUAUUUUGAUUUUUUAGUGUACACAAUACCCAUGUUUUUUAUUUAUUUUUAUGUGGUGCUGAGGAUCGAACCUAGGACCUCGCACAUGCUAGGCGAAUGCCCAGACUCCUGCCUUCUGGCUGGGGCACACCCUUUGUGGUGGCCAAGCCUGUCCCGAUAUAUCCCUGGGGGUGUGGUUGGUCAGAGAAUUGAGUAGCAGCUUCUGUGCUGCCAGCAUGGGUGCGUGCUAGGGACCCCCAAAUCCUUUUACUUGGGGGACACAGUUCUGCCUAGCCCUCCCCCACCCACCAGCUGGUUCCUGCAGGUACCAUCUGGAACAACUGGAGGGAAGAUGGCGGAGGCCCCCUGCUCCCCUGGAGGCCAGCAGGUGAGCAUCUCUGCUGCCCCCUAGAGUGCUGUAGAUGGGUGCUGUGUGGAGCUGGCCUCCACAAGGGGAAUGCUUGUGCUCCUGGAGGGGAUCCAGCCCUCCCUGAACGUGGGCCAGCACCAAGGACCCACCGGUAUACUCACCCCUUGCCUGGGUCCCUCAUGCCCCCCCAUCCUGCUGCGAGAGGAGGGCCAGGCCUCGGGCACCCCUCAUCCUGCCCUGCAGGAUGGGGUGGGCACUUGGAGCCCAGCUGCCAGCCCAGUCCCCGGAGGCUGAGGCAUUCAGGUGCAUGUCCCCGCCCCUGCUGUCCAGCUUGCCUCCCUCCCUCUCUCCUCCUUUCUUGGACCCCUGAUCCUGUACUUCUCUGCCCCCUUCCCUGCCCUUUGCAGACAAAACCCGGGGUGAUCCAGCCUUUGGCUCAGGCCUGGCCAAGGGGCUCCCCGGCCCCCAGGGGCAGAGGUGAUCCCCGCUCCGUGAGUGUCCUAUCCCACAGGGGGUAGGGGGUGGCAGUUUCCUUCCCCUCUACGGGACAGGGCGAGGGGGGGAUCAGUGGCAGUCCGUGGAGACAGCUGGUGGCUGGUUGGGCGGUGGCUGCAGUGGACAGCUGCCCCCCACCCCGCCUCACGGGCACUCCGCCCCCAGACGCCCUCCCCGCCCUCCCCGGAGGAGCUGCCCGCCAACGUGAAGCAGGCCUACAGGGCCUUUGCCGCAGUGCCCGCCGCACACCCUCCCGAGGACUGCGCUGCCCAGGUAGGCGGGCGCCCUGCGGUGCGGGGCACUGAGUGCGGGUGGGUGCCCGCGGAGGAACUCUGGCCGAGUGUGAGGUCCACCUCCCCAGCCCCCCGCAGCCUCCCCGGAGCAGCUCUCCUUCCGCGAGCGGCAGAAGUACUUUGAAUCGGAGGUGCGGGUGCCCCAGGCCGAGGGGCCCCCCAAGCGCGUGUCCCUGGUGGGUGCCGACGACCUGCGGAAGAUGCAGGAGGAGGAAGGUGAGGAGGGCGGGAGGAGGGGCGGGGUGUGUGUGUGUGUGUGCCCGCCUGACCCACCCACCUCCCCGCAGCCCGCAAGCUGCAGCAGAAGAGGGCGCAGAUGCUGCGGGAGGAGGCCGCGACCGCGACCUCCGGGCCCAACAUUGGGCUCGCCCUGGACCUGGAGGCCCCUGAAGAGGAGCACCAGGAAGACGAGCCGCUCUGGGCCAGCCUGGGCGGGUGAGCUCCGCCCCCUCCCCCCCACCCUGCCCCGCUGUGCCCGCCCCCUCAACUGGCCUCCCUCUUCCCUAGGCCCAGCCCUGCAUCCCCGCUGCCCGCAGGAGGCAGCGCCCCUGUGCGAACAGCCAAAGCUGAGCGGCGCCACCAGGAGCGGCUGCGCAUGCAGAGCCCGGAGCUGGCGGCACCAGAGCGGGCCCUGUCCCCAGCGGAGCGCCGGGCCCAGGAAGCAGAGAAGCGGGCGCUGUGGAGGGCGGCCAGGUAAGUGGGUUCCCCCCCGCCCCGCGCCGCGCCCACUCCCUGGUCUCCGCCCACCCAUUGGUCUCCGCAGGAUGAAGUCUCUGGAGCAGGACGCUCUGCGCGCACAGAUGGUGCUCAGCAAGUCCCAGGAGGGCCGGAGCAAGCGAGGGCCCCUGGAGCGGCUGGCCGAGUCCCCCUCGCCCGCUCCCACCCCAUCGCCCACCCCCUUGGAAGGUCGGUGUGUCUGGUAGGAGGGGGGGGGGUUCUGCCAGCUAUGGGCCUUUCCCAAAGCCAGUGUCUUGUACCCCAGAUCUCGGCCUCCAGACCAGCACCACCCCGGGACGCCUGGUGAGCCACCCGCAGCUGUCUCCCCCCCUGCACCCCUGCGGCAUGGGGGCGGCGGUGCAGAUUCCCCCACACCGCCCUCACCUCUCUCCCUCGCACUUUCUGCCUCUUCCCCCUCACGCUGUCCUUUCAAGCCCUUGUCUGGAAAGAAGUUUGACUACAGGGCGUUCGCAGCCCUCCCUUCUUCCAGACCUGUCUAUGACAUCCAGGUACUGGCAGUCUCCUGGCCUUCUGCACGCGCAUGGGCCCAGUGCACGCUCCUGCCACUCCCCUGUGCCUGUCCCACCUGAGCUCUGUCCACCCCUGCUUUUUCCCUGCUCUUUCUCUGGUGUGGGGCCUCCCCCCUCCUCUUCCCUCCCGUCGCAGCCCAGCUGUGCUGUGCCCUCACCCAGGCUCUGUGGGCCUCAGAGCCAGGGGGACCGGCCAGGUCCACCAGGGUGGCUUCAGCCAGGUCUGGACCAGCCCUGACCAGCCCCUCUUCCCAUCACAGUCGCCAGAUUUUGUUGAGGAUCUGAGGUCCUUGGAACCAACUCCUAGCCCUGGUAAGUUGGUGCUGGGCUGGGGGUAAGCUCCCAGGGUGCCUGGUCACCCUGGGCUUACUUCCUGUCCUUGCCCCCGCCCCGCCCCCAGGCCCUCAGGAGGAGGAUGGAGAGGUGGCCCUGGUGCUCCUAGGCAGGCCCUCCCCCAGUUCCCUGGGCCCUGAAGAUGUGGCGCUGUGCAGCAGCCGUCGCCCCAUGCGGCCUGGGCGCCGGGGCCUGGGCCCUGUGCCCUCCUAGGGGGCAGGGCCUCCCCAGACUUGGGGUGGGGGCCUGCCAGCUCCAACACCACCCUUGCCCCAGUCUUUUAACCUGGGUGUUAGCAUUUUAAAGAGACCCCUCAGGGGCCUGGCCUGUGCCUGACUGCCCCACCCCAAGCGGGUUCUCUUGGCGAGACUGUAACUAGUGACGUUUGUACAACCAAAGACUCUAUUUUGUGGUUUAAGGAGAAUAAAAU
rnacentral:lncRNA from 1 species